CCUACGGGACGCAGCAGGCGCGAAAACUUUACAAUGCGGGCAACCGUGAUAAGGGAACCUCGAGUGCCUGUAUAUGCAGGCUGUCCAGGUGUCUAAAACACACCUGAAGAAAGGGCCGGGCAAGACCGGUGCCAGCCGCCGCGGUAAUACCGGCGGCUCGAGUGGUGGCCGCUUUUAUUGGGCUUAAAGCGUUCGUAGCUGGGUCGUUAAGUCUCUUGGGAAAUCCGGCAGCUCAACUGUCGGGCGUCUAAGAGAUACUGGCGAUCUUGGAACCGGGAGAGGUGAGGGGUACUUCGGGGGUAGGAGUGAAAUCCUGUAAUCCUCGAGGGACCACCUGUGGCGAAGGCGCCUCACCAGAACGGCUUCGACAGUGAGGGACGAAAGCUGGGGGAGCAAACCGGAUUAGAUACCCUCGUAGUCC
rnacentral:rRNA from 1 species